ensembl:lncRNA PSMA3-AS1 PSMA3 antisense RNA 1
GCUCACGCCUGUAAUCCCAGCACUUUGGGAGGCCAAGGCGGGCAGAUCACAAGGUCAGGAGUUCGAGACCAGCCUGGCUAAUAUAGUGAAACCCCAUUUCUACUAAAAAUGCAAACAUUAGUCAGGCAUGGUGGCAGGUGCCUGUAGUCCCAGCUACUUGGGAGGCUGAGGCAGGAGACUCUCUUCAACCCGUGAGGCAGAGGUUGCAGUGAGUCGAGAUCAUGUCACUGCACUUCAGCUUAAGCAACAGAGCGAGACUCCAUCUCAAAAAAAGAAAAGCACGUCACUCGAUGUUCUUUCUUUCAUAAGAGUUGAAGAACUAGAUAUAAAACCAAGGAAAAUAACCUAAAGUCUGAAAAAGACCAGAAUCGAAGUUUCCUGAUUCAUAUUUUAAUGUUUUGAAAUUUAUACUCCAGGCUGGGUGCAGUGGCUUGUGCCUGUAAUCCCAGCACUUUGGGAGGCCGAGGCGGCCGGAUUGCCUGAAGUCAGAAGUUCGAGACCAGCCUGACCAACAUGGUGAAACCCUGUCUCUACUUAAAAAUACAAAAGAGCUGGGCAUGGAGGUGGUGCGCGCCUGUAACCCUAGCUACUCGGGAGGCUGAGGCCUAAGAAUCUCUUGAACCCAGGAGGCAGAGGUUGUAGUGAGCCGGGAUCACGCCACUGCACUCUAGCCUGGGCGACAGAGAGAGAGACUGUCUAAAAAAGGAAAAGAAAAAAAUUUAUACGCCAAAAAAGAUAUUCUGAGAUAACCUGUAGUUACCACUAACUUUGUGACAAAAUUAUAAAAAUCCACAGCCAUCUAUGAAUCUGUAGGCAGACCUGAAGUUUGAACGACUGGUGAAGACAUCUGAUUUUCUUUAUAGCCAAGUUAGGAUAACAAAAUGCAAACAAGUCAUUAAUAUUUACUAUAUGCAAGAUACAGAAAGAUGAAGGAAGGAGUAAGAAGUUAUCCUUCGUGGAACUAUUCAAAGCAAAAAUGCAAAAUACCAGGGAAAGCUUUGAAGAACCAAGAUUUGAGCAGGUUCUUAGAAUAUAGAUUGGAUUGGAUUUGAUUUCAAGAAAGAUGAACGUGUAAAGCAGAAGUGGGAAGCCAAAAACUUUUUUCCAAAUUAGAAUUAAGCAUUCUUUCAAUGAACAUUUGGAAAUCAAGGUAGAAAAAUAUCCCUAGGGCCUAGCUGAGGAGUCUGUAUGUUGUUGGGUUUUGAUAGUAACCAGUCCAAGAUUUUGUUAUUAGACGUGGGUUUCUGAAUAGACAGGCAUUUCUGAACAGACAUGACAGGAUCAAAACAAUGUUUGAGCAAACUGCCCUUCAUCUACUGUGGAUAUGUUGGGGGAUGAUGGAAUAUAGUGAAAGAUAAUGGGUGCUCAUACAGCAGUCUAGACUUAAGGUGAUUCAACUACUAUAUAUUAAACUAGAUUAUCUUUUAUUUUUUAAUUUUGAAAUCUGGAUGCUCAAGCUCUGCCUGCACAACCACAUGAGGAAGAAGGAACAAUGACAACAAAAAUAACACUAAAUUUAAAUUUAAGAGUACUACUUUUAGGAAAUAGACAAACCAUUAUUUGGGUACAACUAAAGGCAACUGGCAUGGACUCAAAUAUUUUGGGGAAGAAAAAGACUAAAAGUUCUAAGGAAGAAAAUGCGAACCUUGAUAGUUUGAAAUAGUUAAAAAGACAGUGUAGAAACUGCUUAGGCAGUUUGAUUAUGGACUAUUAGAUGAUACUUGGGUCUGAUAAUGGUAUAAGGAGAAUAAAGUAUUUAGGGAUCCAAUAUUACGCCUGCAGCUUUUUCCAAAUAGUUCAUGGGGGAGGGGGAUGUGUAAGUGGUUAACUGAAGUCUAACUAGAUAGGUUUGUUGUAAGCUUAGGAUGUUUACAGUUCUUCAUGUUAAGUUGAGCGUGAUGGGAAGGGAAAGAAUGCUGAUCUUUAAAUUUUUGUCCUUAGUUAAGUUCUGUAUUUAGUGAAUUAAUUGCAUCCUAAAAAGUCAAACUUGAAAAGCACAUUUUAAAUGGCAAAUCUAUUUUUUACAUGUUUGUGAAGUUUUUAUUUUUUAGUAAACAGACCAUCAGAAGAGAACAAUGGUACAGAGCAGGGGUCAGCAGAUGGAUUUUGUAAAGCAUCAACUUGUAAAUAUUUUCAAGUUUAUUAGCUGUAUGGCUCUGGUUUCUGUUCCCUGUUCCAAAUGUUAAAGUCUACUGUUGUAUUCUAAAAGCAGCCAUGGACUGAAUGUAGCUGUGUUCCAAUAAAACUUACACAAAAGCAGGCAGUGGGCCAUAAUUUGCAACACCUGAUUCACAGCAUAAUUUUGUCACAAACUGAAAGUGUUCCUCAAUUAAAG